rnacentral:rRNA from 1 species
AGUGAACGCUGGCGGUAGGCCUAGCACAUGCAAGUCGAACGGCAGCACAGUAAGAUCUUGCUCUUACGGGUGGCGAGUGGCGGACGGGUGAGGAAUACAUCGGAAUCUACUUUUUCGUGGGGGAUAACGUAGGGAAACUUACGCUAAUACCGCAUACGACCUACGGGUGAAAGCAGGGGAUCUUCGGACCUUUCGCGAUUGAAUGAGCCGAUGUCGGAUUAGCUAGUUGGCGGGGUAAAGGCCCACCAAGGCGACGAUCCGUAGCUGGUCUGAGAGGAUGAUCAGCCACACUGGAACUGAGACACGGUCCAGACUCCUACGGGAGGCAGCAGUGGGGAAUAUUGGACAAUGGGCGCAAGCCUGAUCCAGCCAUACCGCGUGGGUGAAGAAGGCCUUCGGGUUGUAAAGCCCUUUUGUUGGGAAAGAAAAGCAGCAGGUUAAUACCCCGCUGUUCUGACGGUACCCAAAGAAUAAGCACCGGCUAACUUCGUG